AUUAAUAAAAUUAAGUUUAAGUGAAUAUGAAAAGUUAAGCAUAUCUAAGGCUUCAUUUGGGAUUACAGGGAGAUUGCAUUACGUGUGGUGAGAAAACGACAAUGAAAAAAUAUCCUAUUUGUUUUCGUACGUAAUAUUGCGUUCCGUAUAUUGCGAUUAGUCGGUUACGAAAUAUUUUCUGCGAUCCAUCGAAAAACGCAGAAUAUAUUUCUAUAUACUUUUUCUCAACUCCAUUCUAUCUAAUGGCAUUAGAUAGACUUCAAUAUCAAACUAAGCCUAAAUAAACAUAAAUGUUUAAAUUUUAUAUAUAAUGUUUGACCGGAGUAUCAACCCCAACCCCGGGGAGUGAAAUUGUUAGAUAUCAUUGACAUCAUGAUUACCCAACUAACUCAUCAAUUAUAUUUUAAUAUAACAUAAUUUUUUUUAUUUUACAUUAUCUAUUUUUUAAAAUACUUAGAAAUUUUAAUUAUAUUUUA
rnacentral:lncRNA from 1 species